GCAAACUUGGUCAUUUAGAGGAAGUAAAAGUCGUAACAAGGUUUCCGUAGGUGAACCUGCGGAAGGAUCAUUACUGAAGUGCUGGGAGAUGUUGCUGGCUUCUAUUAGGAGCAAUGUGUGCACUCUUCCAACCUUUCCCUUCACACCCCUUGUGCACUCUUUGUAGGGCCCCUCUCAGGCUUAUAAACUUGAAAGGAAGACUCUAUGUUUUUUUGCUACCUCCUUCACACUUAUUGGAAUGUAUGGUUGUUAUUUUAUAAAAAAAGAAACAACUUUCAACAAUGGAUCUCUUGGCUCUCGCAUCGAUGAAGAACGCAGC
rnacentral:misc_RNA from 1 species